GUGUGAUGGACUACAAUAGUGGACUAA
rnacentral:sRNA from 1 species